GAUGAACGCUAGCUACAGGCUUAACACAUGCAAGUCGAGGGGAAACGACAUCGCAAGCUUGCUUUUGAUGGGCGUCGACCGGCGCACGGGUGAGUAACGCGUAUCCAACCUGCCCACCACUUGGGGAUAACCUUGCGAAAGUAAGACUAAUACCCAAUGAUAUCCCACGAAGACAUCUGAAUGGGAUUAAAGAUUUAUCGGUGAUGGAUGGGGAUGCGUCUGAUUAGCUUGUUGGCGGGGUAACGGCCCACCAAGGCAACGAUCAGUAGGGGUUCUGAGAGGAAGGUCCCCCACAUUGGAACUGAGACACGGUCCAAACUCCUACGGGAGGCAGCAGUGAGGAAUAUUGGUCAAUGGGCGAGAGCCUGAACCAGCCAAGUAGCGUGCAGGAAGACGGCCCUAUGGGUUGUAAACUGCUUUUAGAAGGGAAUAAAGUGGGUAACGUGUGACUUUUUGCAUGUACCUUAUGAAUAAGGACCGGCUAAUUCCGUG
rnacentral:rRNA from 1 species